GUUUCUGUAGUGUAGUGGUUUUCACAUUCGCUUUACAUGCGAAAGGUCCCCGGUUCGAAACCGGGUGGAAAUA